UUGUUAGGUUCUUUUGUUUGAUAAGCAGAAAUUUCAAUUAAAUUAACCAGUUUUGUUUGGUUUACAUGUUGCACAUUUUGUUGGGUUGGAAGUGGCUUGACCUCAAAGUCGAAUCGGCUCCGAACUUUUGAAACUCGAGUUGCCAUGGAUGACUGGCCAAUCUUGCCCAGGCUUUUCAGCGCGGGCACGUGCCAUUGUUUUAAUCUGUUUUCGGUUCUUAGUUCUCGGUUCCGAUAGCUAUGUACCCAUAUUGUUACAUAACCAAUUGGCCAGACGAGAUGGGAAGCAUACGGAGAUUGGGAUCCCAGGUGCAUCCAGGCAGUGGGUAAUCCCAUGUCACACUGAGGUGUGUAUAUGCACAAGGGGCAACUCAAGUUCCGCGGAUCUCUAAGGCACACACAUAUAUCAUGUAUCAGCUACCAAGGUAUGUAUAUACACAUGUACAUAACGAUUGCCAACAAACAAAUGGCUUGCGUGUGUGUGUGCGUGUGUGUGGGUGCGUAGUUAUUGAAAAAAAGCACAGAAAACACAAUAAAAGCGUCGGUCUGUCUGGCUUAUCUGUCCAACAAAACUAAUCGGAGUGACCAAAAUACAACACGGAACUGCGAGAAGCGACAGUCAGCUGUCCGGAUAUUUUUACCCGGAGUCCCGAGCCCGUGCAGUCCGACUGGCCGUGGAGCCCCACGCUUUCUUGUGACCAGAUGCUGAAUGCGCUCCGAAACCAAAUGCUCUCGACCCAUCACGACUUGGCACUAAAAAAUACCGAAAGUAUCCUUUCAAAUUUGAAAUUUAAAAACCCAAAAUUCUGGAAUUUUGAAUUCCCAAUUUUUUCAAAAACUUUAGUUUAAAUAGUAACUAUUUAGCGGAAAUAACGUUCCCUGUUGAAAUUCGCAACUUUUUAAGGAGACAACCAGUAGCCCGCGUAAGAAAAACAGCCACUUGAAUGGGAAACUAUAGUUUAUUUCUUUGCCGCGGUGUGCUUGAUUGGGAUCUGAAUUGUGGUUGGGGAUCUCUGGUUCUGUUUCCGAGGGGAAGCAAUCAAGCGAAAACACCGAGAAUCGCUUCCCUCGCUACGGGGAUACUUCUUUUCUUUAAGACUAAAUCACUGCGUUGCAGAAUCAUCAUAAUCGUAUUGUAUAAUCUGGCUGCCGUGCCGUAUAACAAUGGUCGCUUGUUUGCGGACUGGCGUAAUAAAUAAUAAACUUGCA